UACUAGUUUGGGUUAGUUGAGGUUCGUUGAGGUUAGGCUAAUGUUAGUUUGGGUUAGUUGAGGUUCGUUGAGGUUAGGCUAAUGUUAGUUUGGGUUAGUUGAGGUUCGUUGAGGUUAGGGUAAUGUUAGUUUGGGUUAGUUGAGGUUCGUUGAGGUUAGGGUAAUGUUAGUUUGGGUUAGUUGAGGUUAGGCUAAUGUUAGUUUGGGUUAGUUGAGGUUCGUUGAGGUUAGGCUAAUGUUAGUUUGGGUUAGUUGAGGUUAGGCUAAUGUUAGUUUGGGUUAGUUGAGGUUCGUUGAGAUUAGGCUAAUGUUAGUUUGGGUUAGUUGAGGUUCGUUGAGGUUAGGCUAAUGUUAGUUUGGGCUAGUUUAGGUUAGUUGAGGUUAGGGUAAUGUUAGUUUGGGUUAGUUGAGGUUCGUUGAGGUUAGGGUAAUGUUAGUUUGGGUUAGUUGAGGUUAGGCUAAUGUUAGUUUGGGUUAGUUGAGGUUCGUUGAGGUUAGGCUAAUGUUAGUUUGGGUUAGUUGAGGUUAGGCUAAUGUUAGUUUGGGUUAGUUGAGGUUCGUUGAGAUUAGGCUAAUGUUAGUUUGGGUUAGUUGAGGUUCGUUGAGGUUAGGCUAAUGUUAGUUUGGGCUAGUUUAGGUUAGUUG